rnacentral:rRNA from 1 species
AUUGAACGCUGGCGGAAUGCUUUACACAUGCAAGUCGAGCGGCAGCGCGGGGGCAACCCUGGCGGCGAGCGGCGAACGGGUGAGUAACAUAUCGGAACGUACCCAGUCGUGGGGGAUAACUAUCCGAAAGGAUAGCUAAUACCGCAUACGUCCUGAGGGAGAAAGCGGGGGAUCGCAAGACCUCGCGCGAUUGGAGCGGCCGAUAUCGGAUUAGCUAGUUGGCGAGGUAACGGCUCACCAAGGCGAAGACGGGUAGCUGGUCUGAGAGGAUGAUCAGCCACACUGGAACUGAGACACGGUCCAGACUCCUACGGGAGGCAGCAGUGGGGAAUAUUGCGCAAUGGGUGAAAGCCUGACGCAGCCACGCCGCGUGAGCGAUGAAGGCCUGGUCGUAAGACUCUGUGGGAGGAGAAG